AUUAUUCUAGAGUUUGAUCAUGGCUCAGAUUGAACGCUGGCGGCAGGCCUAACACAUGCAAGUCGAACGGUAGCACAGAGAGCUUGCUUUCGGGUGACGAGUGGCGGACGGGUGAGUAAUGUCUGGGAAACUGCCUGAUGGAGGGGGAUAACUACUGGAAACGGUAGCUAAUACCGCAUAAUGUCGCAAGACCAAAGAGGGGGACCUUCGGGCCUCUUGCCAUCAGAUGUGCCCAGAUGGGAUUAGCUAGUAGGUGGGGUAACGGCUCACCUAGGCGACGAUCCCUAGCUGGUCUGAGAGGAUGACCAGCCACACUGGAACUGAGACACGGUCCAGACUCCUACGGGAGGCAGCAGUGGGGAAUAUUGCACAAUGGGCGCAAGCCUGAUGCAGCCAUGCCGCGUGUAUGAAGAAGGCCUUCGGGUUGUAAAGUACUUUCAGCGGGGAGGAAGGUGUUGUGGUUAAUAACCACAGCAAUUGACGUUACCCGCAGAAGAAGCACCGGCUAACUCCGUGCCAGCAGCCGCGGUAAUACGGAGGGUGCAAGCGUUAAUCGGAAUUACUGGGCGUAAAGCGCACGCAGGCGGUCUGUCAAGUCGGAUGUGAAAUCCCCGGGCUCAACCUGGGAACUGCAUUCGAAACUGGCAGGCUGGAGUCUUGUAGAGGGGGGUAGAAUUCCAGGUGUAGCGGUGAAAUGCGUAAAGAUCUGGAGGAAUACCGGUGGCGAAGGCGGCCCCCUGGACAAAGACUGACGCUC
rnacentral:rRNA from 1 species